rnacentral:rRNA from 1 species
AUUGAACGCUGGCGGCAGGCCUAACACAUGCAAGUCGAGCGGUAGAGAGAAGCUUGCUUCUCUUGGGAGCGGCGGACGGGUGAGUAAUGCCUAGGAAUCUGCCUGAUAGUGGGGGAUAACGUCCGGAAACGGACGCUAAUACCGCAUACGUCCUACGAGAGAAAGUGGGGGCUCUUCGGACCUCACGCUAUCAGAUGGGCCUAGGUCGGAUUAGCUAGUUGGUGGGGUAAAGGCUCACCAAGGCGACGAUCCGUAACUGGUCUGAGAGGAUGAUCAGUCACACUGGAACUGAGACACGGGCCCGACUCCUACGGGAGGCAGCAGUAAGGAAUAUUGGGCAAUGGACGAAAGUCUGACCCAGCCAUGCCGCGUGAAGGAUUAAGGUCCUCUGGAUUGUAAACUUCUUUUCUCUGGGGCGAAAAACAGCUAUUCUUAGUUGCUUGACAGUACCAGAGGAAUAAGCACCAGCUAACUCCGUGCCAGCAGCCGCCGUAAGAC